rnacentral:rRNA from 1 species
CCUACGGGUGGCAGCAGUGAGGAAUAUUGGUCAAUGGGCGGGAGCCUGAACCAGCCAAGCCGCGUGAGGGAGGAAGGUACAGAGUAUCGUAAACCUCUUUUGUCAGGGAACAAAGGCGGGGACGUGUCCCCGGAUGAGCGUACCUGAAGAAACAGCAUCGGCUAACUCCGUGCCAGCAGCCGCGGUAAUACGGAGGAUGCGAGCGUUAUCCGGAUUUAUUGGGUUUAAAGGGUGCGCAGGCGGGGUGUUAAGUCAGCGGUCAAAGCCCGGGGCUCAACCCCGGCGCGCAGUUGAAACUGGGGGGCUCGAGUGGGAGAGAGGUAAGCGGAAUGCGUGGUGUAGCGGUGAAAUGCUUAGAUA